rnacentral:tRNA from 1 species
GGUGAGAUGACCGAGAGGUAUUGGAAGCGACGCUCACUCGCUAGACCGGAGAUCAAAUCCCGGUCUAACUU